rnacentral:lncRNA from 1 species
GAUCACCACGGUGACUUGCAAGCAACUCACUAUGCUUUGGUGCCAGACUACUUAAAUUUUUAAUUCAACGAUGAAAGAUUUUUGGGCAUAGUCAAGUACUUGUGAAGUCAGUGUGUAAAUCAAGAUGGAAUUGACCCCUUCGAAUAAGUAGGAGUUAAUGUAUCAGUGUAUUUCAAUUCAAUAAAACCUUGGCUGGAGUAAUCCAUGUGAUAGAUUUUGAAAAUUGAAAUACAAUAUGGAUGACCAUAUCAGGGUUGGCAGUUAAACUCUAGGUCACUUUGAGCAUUUGGGUCAAAGGGAUGAAUUAUACGAUAACUAUAUUCAAAUAGGUUCUUGAGUGUUACUUAGCAUAUAUUCGGCCUAUCCGGACAUCGGAUAUCAUUGCUAGAUGGUUACUCUGAUUGGUACAAAAAUCAAUUCCUGUGCUACUGGCUUAGGUUCGAACCUAUGGGGUCACACACAUUAGAAGUUUCUCUCUAAUCACAUGACUAAUCUGAAGAGUCCCAAUCAAUGGGGACUCUAGUGAAGAGUCUCACUUGACGGGGACUCUGCUAAAGAGUCCCACUAAACUUGGACUCUAUCUUUAAUGAAGGAUUAAUUAGUGAUUAAAUCACUAAUUAGAUCAAUUUGAUG